rnacentral:lncRNA from 1 species
AUAACAACCAGGCCUACUGCAUACUAGACCAUUUUUGUAGUACAACACACGUGCCACAUGAGGGUGCUAAGCACCGCAAAAGAGUCGGGGAGAGACUAGCGGAUUCAAGGCAAAGACAGUUAUCAGCUCUACAAAAGAGGACGAGGAGUAAUGUUUUGAUUCACUAGUAUUUAAAGUACAACUAGGGAAAGAGAAAACACCAUUACAGUCAAGACCCAUGAUCAUGCCUUAAACGGGGCAUCUUCAACAGGACCACAUCUUGGUGCCCUGUGGCCUGGUAAGAAACAAUAAGAGCUCGAAGCUGAAGUCCGAGUGUACCAGACACCUAGCGUGGAGCUGUCAAAAAGGAGCGAGUAAGUGAACAACACUAGAUAAGGAUCAGAUAUAAGGGAACCAGGGUUGGCUCUU